GACGAACGCUGGCGGCGUGCCUAAUACAUGCAAGUAGGACGCACAGUUUAUACCGUAGCUUGCUACACCAUAGACUGUGAGUUGCGAACGGGUGAGUAACGCGUAGGUAACCUACCUAUUAGAGGGGGAUAACUAUUGGAAACGAUAGCUAAUACCGCAUAACAGUAUGUAACACAUGUUAGAUGCUUGAAAGAUGCAAUUGCAUCGCUAGUAGAUGGACCUGCGUUGUAUUAGCUAGUAGGUAGGGUAAAGGCCUACCUAGGCAACGAUACAUAGCCGACCUGAGAGGGUGAUCGGCCACACUGGGACUGAGACACGGCCCAGACUCCUACGGGAGGCAGCAGUAGGGAAUCUUCAGCAAUGGGGGGAACCCUGACCGAGCAACGCCGCGUGAGUGAAGAAGGUUUUCGGAUCGUAAAGCUCUGUUGUUAAGGAAGAACGAGUGUGAGAAUGGAAAGUUCAUGCUGUGACGGUACUUAACCAGAAAGGGACGGCUAACUACGUGCCAGCAGCCGCGGUAAUACGUAGGUCCCGAGCGUUGUCCGGAUUUAUUGGGCGUAAAGCGAGCGCAGGCGGUUAGAAAAGUCUGAAGUGAAAGGCAGUGGCUCAACCAUUGUAGGCUUUGGAAACUGUUUAACUUGAGUGCAGAAGGGGAGAGUGGAAUUCCAUGUGUAGCGGUGAAAUGCGUAGAUAUAUGGAGGAACACCGGUGGCGAAAGCGGCUCUCUGGUCUGUAACUGACGCUGAGGCUCGAAAGCGUGGGGAGCGAACAGG
rnacentral:rRNA from 1 species